rnacentral:rRNA from 1 species
GUGGGGAAUAUUGGGCAAUGGGGGGAACCCUGACCCAGCAACGCCGCGUGAGGGAAGAAGGUUUUCGGAUUGUAAACCUCUGUCCUAUGGGAAGAAGGAAGUGACGGUACCAUAGGAGGAAGCCCCGGCUAACUACGUGCCAGCAGCCGCGGUAAUACGUAGGGGGCGAGCGUUGUCCGGAAUUACUGGGCGUAAAGGGUGCGCAGGUGGCCUGACAAGUCAGAUGUGAAAUACCGAUGCUUAACGUCGGGGCUGCAUUUGAAACUAUGAGGCUGGAGUGCAGGAGAGGGAAGCGGAAUUCCUAGUGUAGCGGUGAAAUGCAUAGAUAUUAGGAGGAACACCAGUGGCGAAGGCGGCUUUCUGGACUGUAACUGACACUGAGGCACGAAAGCGUGGGGAGCAAACAGGAUUAGAUACCCGGGUAGUCC